GAGGAGGAAAGGACAAAAGUGAGGGAUGCAGAGGUGGCCAAAUUCCCCCGUUUUGUCAAGGGUGGGGUAGAUGCUGACCCUCUCCCUCCUCCCAGAUUCCAGAGCCUGCUACUCCCUGCAGUCAGCCACUUGACUCUGUCGCUCGCUCUAGAAGUACACAAGGACAGAUACCCCUUCCCCCAACCCCAUUUCCAGGUAUUUUCGGGACUACAGACGGGAACCUUAAGGAUUCCAAAGAAACAAGGUGGAGGGAGCAGAGAAAAGGAUGGGACCAUUCCUCCAGAGAAGCAAUACACUCGGCCAGGGCUACAGGAGAAGAUGCUGCCCCUUCCAGUAAUCAGAAAGACAAUACAUUUGUUGGCUGUGCAGAGACUUAAAAAAAGCGACAGUGGCCAGGCGGCGCGGUGGUGGUGGGGAAGGGGCUGGUCGUCCUCCUCUUUGCUUAUAAUAGGAGGGGAAAUUUGGGACCCGAACUCACCAGUGACGUAGCCUCACGUGACCAGGAGCCUAUGUACUGAAGUCUUGGUCUAGACAGAGGUUCGGCUCAGGUAACCAGCUCCCUAUUUCCUUGGAGGUGGCGUGAUUGUGGGCAAGGACGGAGGACAAGGGGGAUGAGGAGGAAACCGGUCCUGAUUCCUGUCUGUCGGUGUGCGGGUGGGUGUUGAUUGAAGACUCCUGGAGUGAGGGUGGAGGGUAGCAAUCACAACUGCUUCUGUGUUUCCCCAUGGGAACACCCGAACCGAGCCUCUUUUUCGUGCCUUGUAAAAGGCAGGACCGUACCAGCAGCAGAAAUGGUUGGCUUAGGUGACUGGAGAGGCAGAGGGGAGGAAGCGGUUAUCAGGGAGCAAAGAGAUGGGGGAACUGGGAGGUGGGAAACAGGUCUGACAGCCUGGCUCUGGAACAGGGAAAUGUCGGGGUUCGGACCCACAUUCGGGUGUUAGCCCAUCCACCGGAGCAUUGAGGCUCCGCAUCUCCUGUUCUUGUCUGCUUGUGACUUUGGUCUAUGUCCGCUGGUCCAUCCAUUGAUGGUGGGGUGGGGAUGAAAAAGAAGAAGCCCAACGCCUCAUUUCCUUUUUCCCUCCUCCCCAAACACCCACGCCCCUGUCCCUUAGGUCCCACUUGACUGCUGUGUCGGACUCCCGCCUCCAAGGCGCUCUCGCUAGCCUGGGAGAGACCCCUGAGAUAUCCGUGGCAGCUGCAGCAUGGGCCGUGCCCAGAAUUUGGGCUUGAUGGCAGCGGGACUGGUGAUCGGGACUGGCACCUGGUACUACAUAUACCAACUGACCUGUGGUGGAGAGCAGAACAAGAAACCAGCUGAUUAAAAAGACAUUAAUCCUGCCUACAAAAAGUUUAGAAAGUACAGAAAACUAUAAGGAAGAAAAAAAAUAAGCCAUCAAUAAUUAUCAUUCCUUGUCUUUCUCUCUGUGUAAGAAUGUGGAUGUGGGUGUUUAAUAUUGCAUCAUACUGCAUAUGUUAUCCUGGAAUUAUU
rnacentral:lncRNA from 1 species